CCCACAAAGUCUUAUUUGCAUCAGACUUCGAAAUGCUGUCUGGGGCCUCUUGUACCGGUACACGGGUUCUUGUACCGGUACAAGGCCGAGCUGUAGCCAAACCCGAGAGCUGUCUCUCGGUUUCGCAGGUCUUGUACCGGUACAAGGGGACCUUGUACCGGUACAGCGCCUGGACUGCACAAACCCGAGGGCUACUGAGCUCUUGUCGCUGCUUGUACCGGUACAACCAUCACCCUUGUACCGGUACAAGACGCCCAGAAUGCAGUUUUGACUUCGAUUCAGCUCUACUUCGCGCCGGUUGACGCCAAAACCAUUUUAACACUUCUCUAACUCAUUUUUCGCCCUUUCAAACUUGUCGGGCAGCAAGAAGAACUUGUCCAUCGCUUUCCUUCGACACUUUAACCAAUUUGGUUAAAGUUCGAAUAUCGUUUUCGGGUUUCGAUACGUUACAUAUAAAUAGGUGAAUAACGCCCAAAAGAGGGGUCUUUUUUCCGAGAACAGAAGACCACCUUUAUUUU
rnacentral:lncRNA from 1 species